UCCCUGGUGGCUCAGUGGUAAAGAAUCUGCCUGCAAUGCAGGAAACCUGGGUUCGAUCCCUGGGUUAGGAA
rnacentral:tRNA from 1 species